rnacentral:lncRNA from 1 species
CCGCCUGCUCGAGUCGCGUUCAAAGCUGUUGACAUGGUUUUGUUGAAGCCGACGCAAUCAAAGCUCACAUCAACUCCAGUAACCAUUGUGCUUUGUAUUUUUGCCACUUCUUCAUCUAGAUCCUUCAGAGGUCAAAACCAAUAGUAUUGUUAAAUGGAAAGAAAUGGAAUCCCUUACCAAAUGAUAGAUUUUCAAGGCACUAGAUAUAUGUGGUAACUCCUGGUUCAACACCCCUGGUGCUUAGGCCUGGAAUGAAGGAAAUAUACUUGGAAAUAGUUAGACCAAACCUGAAUAUUCGUUGAAACCCGGAUAAUGUCGUCUGCGCCAAGAUCUUUUGCAAUAGCUAGUCGCUGAUCAUCUACGUCCACAAGGACAAUCCUCGGCGCUCCAAAAGCACGAGCAGCCAGCAUUGUGACAAGGCCGAUGGGGCCUGAUCCCAUGAUCAGUACGUUGGUCUCAGGGCCAACAUUAGCACGGCGACAAGCAUGGAUGCCGACACUGAGCGGCUCACACAUUGCUCCUUCCUCCAAGCUCACAUUGUCAGGUAGCUUGAAACAAAGAUUUGAAGGAUGGACCACCUAGUACAAGAAAGAGCAUAUUGUCAAGGCCAGGCAUCAUCCCCAAAUGGUCACUCCAAGCUAAAGGAAAACCCACAUCAAAGAAGACCCAACAAACCAUAAAAACUAAAAGCUCUGUUUUCAACAGAGCAAUUACCUGGUUAGCUAGAGAACCAUUGGUUGGAGGAGAUCCAAAAAACUUCAUUUCUCUGCAUAGAUUGUAUUGACCAUUCCUGCAAAGACUGCAUCGGUUGCAGCUAAUACCGGGCUCCAGAGCAACCCGGUCACCUGCUACAAGAUUCUUCACUUCACUCCCAACUUCUUCUAUGAUGCCAGCACACUCAUGCCCUAUCACCAUUGGCUUCUUCACAAUGAAAUUUGCGCACCUCAUUGUCUGAUAAGAUUGAGAAAAAAGAAAAAGGAAAAAACCCUGAAUUAGUCUUUGAGUCAAGAAGGUCUAUAGUAGAAAGCAAAUGAGAAUUGCAGAGAUGACUCCACCUUGAAGUGAUGAACAUCACUUCCACAUAUCCCUACAGCUUUGAUCCUAACUUUGACAUCAUAAGGGCCUAAAACAACACAAAAUUAAAGGGAAAUUAUGAAAUGAUACUUGAAAGAAAUAAAACAUAAAGGGAGGAAAAGGAAUGAUACCCAGAGAAGGGAGAAUGUAGGGUUGAAUCUUGAGGGUCUUGAUGCCCAGAAGCCAAGCUGCCAUGUUCUCCUCUCCAUGCUCCUUGCCUGAAACAGCAUCCUCAGAAUUGCCUCCUUUCCCCAUCUCUCUCCCCUGCUUUCACAACUCACACACAGAGAGCUCUGGACCCUCACUCUGAGCUUCUCACAGGCUUUAUCCACCCAAUGGAAUCAAUCCUUUUGGGUAUACGUCCAAUCACAGCCACAGCUUGUCAAUUAUUCUGAUAUCCUGUUGGCCCAUGAGCUGCAAUCAAUACAACUUUUCCUUCUAUAAUUGUUUUUUCUUCAAAUUUAUCUCCCCGUAACAAAAUGUCAGAUUUUGUUUCCCUUCUUGUUUGAGCUAAAAGCUGUUUCCUCGUCAUUUUCUCCUAUUUCCACGUGUGACUUUUUCACAAGAUUUUUUCUCAAAUGUUAAGAUACCAUAAUUCUUUAUUCCACCUCCAAGAUUAUCCCACAUUUGAAAUUUAUUUCAAAUUAAAUUUAGAUAAAUAUGAAGCAAUUUAUUUGAAAUUAAAUUUGGAUAAUCGUUUCUAACGAUGCCCAUCGGAUGGGGGUUCCAAAUAUUCUUUUCUAAAUCUCAGUUCGUACCAUUUUAAUACGAAUGUGUUUGCUUUUAUUAUAUAGAGAACGUAUUCAAUACUAAAUGUUGGACAAUGGUCCCAUCUCCCAACUACUCUGUCUUAAAUGGCUCCUCCCCUUUGGAUGGGUUUUUGCUAUUCAAAAAAUAUUUUUCCAUUGGGAGGAUUAAAAAUAAGUAUCUCCAAACUGAAUGACCUUCAAGCAUGAAAAUAUUGGUUAUUUAAAAACUAUUUUUAAAAAUAGAUUUUAAAAACAGUUUUAAAAAAAUUUUGUCUAAUAUUUUAUAAAAUAAAAAUUUAUUUAAAAAUCUAAAAUAUUUUUAACUUGUUUUUAAUAUUUUUAUAUAUUUUUUAAAAAUAAUUUUUAUACCUCGUAUUUUUAUUUUUAAUUAUUCUAUGUAUUUAUAUAAUAAAAUUUUAAAAUAAUUAAAAUAAUAUUUUAUAAAAACACUUUAUUUUUUAUUUUAAAAAUAAAAAAUAAAAAAUAAUUUUUAAUUAUUAAAUAUGUUUUCCUAAUUUUUUAUUUUAAACAACAAAUAACUGCUAUAAAAAAUAGUUACCAUUGAUAGUCAUUCUAUAAAUAAAAAAAUAAAAAAUAAAAACUAAACUUAGUAAGAAAUCUCUCUCUAUUUGCCAAAUAGGUGAAUAAAAAUUUUAAAAUUUAGUUAUUUACACAAUGAAUUUUGCUCCAAAAUAUACAUACCUAUAAAAUUUGUACUUUUACCAAGUACUUGAUAGAUAAUUUGUUAAACAUCCCGAGUUUAAGACCAAAAUAAUAUAUUUAUAAAAAAAAAUGAUAAGAAUAGUAUCCAUUUGAAAAUAUUUGUCAAAGUAGUCUUCUUUAUCCACGUAAGCAUCCACAUGGAUUUUAGAGUUUAAGACCAAAAUAAUAUAUUUGUAAAAAAAAAUGAUAAGAAUAGUAUCCAUUUGAAAAUAUUUGUCAAAGUAGUCUUCUUUAUCCACGUAAGCAUCCACAUGGAUUUUAAGUGUAAAGAACCACCGUUAGUGACUGUGGUUUUAGAACUUACAAAAAUUUCCUUAAAACCACAGUUACAAACUGUGGUUUUACAAUUUCUCUUAGAACCACAGUUACUAACUGCGGUUUUAAAAGAAGUUUCCUUAAAACCACAGUUACAAACUGUGGUUUUACAAUUUCUCUUAGAACCACAGUUACUAACUGUGGUUUUACAAUUAUUUUUAAUCCAUUCCCAUUUUAAUGGUGUUAUAAUUUUAAUAUUAUUUUUAAAAUAUUUUUUUUAUCAAAACAACCAUAAAACCACAGUUAGUAACUAUGGUUUUACUAAUGGUGUUGUAAUUUUAAUAUUAUUUUUAAAAUAAUUUUUAUCAAAAUAACCAUAAAACCACAGUUAGUAACUGUGGUUUUACAAUUAUUUUCAAUCCAUAUCUAUUUUAAUGGUGUUGUAAUUUUAAUAUUAUUUUUAAAAUAUUUUAUCAAAAUACCCAUAAAACCACAGUUAGUAACUGUGGUUUUACAAUUAUUUUCAAUCCGCAUAUAUUUUAAUGGUGUUGUAAUUUUAAUAUUAUUUUUAAAAUAUUUUUUUAUCAAAAUUACAAUUAUGUUGUAAUUUUCACAAAUAUUUUUAAGGGGACUCAUGUAUAAAAAAGUAUGGGAUUUUAGAACUUUGCUUUUCACAAAUUUUUUUGUUACGACUGUUUUAAAUAUGUAUGUAUAUAUAUAUAUAUAUAUAUAUAUAUAUAUAUAUAUAUAUAUAUAUAUAUUUUAUCUUUAUUUUUUCAUAUUUUCCUUGAAAAUUUGAGAAAAUAAUUUGGUCUACAUGCAUUCCCAUAAAAAUUUAUAUAUUUAUAGUAAAUAAAAUAUUUAUUUGUUUUACAAAUAUUUUCACAUAUGAACUAAAGAAAAUUAUUUAUUCAUAUUAUUUUUAAAUUUUAAAAUAACUAAAGAAAUUGUUUAUAUUAUUUUAAAAUUUUAUCUUUUCAUAUGAAAAUUAAUGUCAGUGAUUAUGAUUUUAGGUUAUUUAUUAUUAAGUAUGAUUUGAACUUAUGUCUGGGUUAAAAUGUAUAAUUUUUUAAUUAUAUGAAAGAAAAAUAGGUAGUGGUUGUAAUAAUUUAUUUAGUUAGAAUUUAUUUCAUUUAUACUUUAGGAUGCAUUUGAGUUUUAUUUGUUUAAAUUAUCAAGGAAACAUGUGAAUAAUAUAACAUCACUAAUUUGAAUAACUGUGGUUUUAUGGUUGUUUUGAUAAAAAAAAUAUUUUAAAAAUAAUAUUAAAAUUAUAACACCAUUAAAAUGGGAACAAAUUAAAAAUAAUUGUAAAGUUAGGAAAUUGUAAAACCACAGUUUGUAACUGUGGUUUUAAGGAAACUUAUUUUAAAACCGCAGUUAGUAACUGUGGUUCUAAGAGAAAUUGUAAAACCACAGUUUGUAACUGUGGUUUUAAGGAAAUUUUUGUAAGUUCUAAAACCACAGUUACCAACGGUGGUUCUUUACACUUAAAAUCUAUGUGGAUGCUUACGUGGAUAAAGAAGACUACUUUGACAAAUAUUUUCAAAUGAAUACUAUUCUUAUCAUUUUUUUUUAUAAAUAUAUUAUUUUGGUCUUAAACUCAAACAUCCCCAUCAAAUAUGUAUUGACCCCUCCUCCCCACUUGCCCACCUACCCCCCUUGUUUUUCUUUUUUUCUUUUUUCUUUUUCUCUAAUUUAAAAAAAAAAAAUUUGAGGAUGGCAAUUAAGUGGAAAAGAAUGAAAAGGAAAGAAAAGGAAAAUAAUAAAGAUGUUAUGUUGGGUUUUGAUGAGUGUCGGUGGGUUGGAAAAAAAAAAGGGGAAAUGUUAUUUUCAUGCCUAAAUAGGGUGGGGGGUGGAAGUGAAGAAAUUUUGCAUUCUUAUCUUUAACGGUAGCCAAAUUAAAUUUGGUGUGGUGAUGUUAUGGAAACAAUCAACAUAAGUUGACCCAUCCCAACAUCAACUACCCUGAUGUAAUUGUUAUAAUUCUAAUAUUUAUAAUUUAUAUUAUUAUAAUAAUCUUUAUUUUAAAUUUUUUUUUAAGUAUUUUUAGAGGACAACGACAUUAGACAUUAAAUUGUGUCUAUAUUUAGAGUCAUGUUUGAUUGUGAUUCUAUAAAGCGUUUUUAGUGUAAAAAGUGCUUUUAAAAUAAAUUUAAGUGUUUGAUAAAAUUUAAGAAAUAUUUUAAAAAAUAUGAAAAAUUAUUUAUAAAAUUAGAAAAUGAUUGAAGUGGUUUUUCAAAAUUUUAAAAGCGUUUUCUAAAAUUUUUCAAAUACCUAUUUUUUUGGUAAAAAGGUUUUCUAGAAUCAUUACAAAACAAGUUCUUAUCAUGUCCUCUAAGUAAACACUUUCAUUAAAAAUUAUUUCGAGUAAAAAUAUUAUUAAAUGCAAUCUUAAAGUGAAUUUGACAGUAUUUCUAUUCGAAGUAUUUUAAAAAUAAAAAACAUUAUAAAGUGAUUUUUCAAUAUUAUAAAUGAUUUUUAAAAGUAUUUUUUAAAAUUUAUUAAAUAUCUUAUUUAAAAAUAUUAAAUUAAAUUAUAAACGCUUGUAAAAAUCAUUAUCAGAAUACUUAAUAUUAUUUUAUUUUUAUGGAAAUAGAUACUUCCUCUUUUAGAUUAUUAAAUUUAUUAAACAAUACAACUCCUUGGACGGGGUCAAACAAAAAUUUAAUCCUUCAAAGCUCCUUAAAUUUGACUUGACCAACUUGGUAAAAUCAAAUCUCAACUCAAAUUUGAAAAACAAAAUAUUAUUGAAUUGAACUCUUGGGUCCGCUUAUUUGACACGUAACCCAUUUUAAUUUAAUUUUGAUGACUCGGAUUUGAUGGGUAUUUUUUGUCCCGAUCCCAAAAGUUAGUUGUUUGUCCUUGGUGUGGCAGAACUUAUGUGAAAGUGGCGCAAUAUUUGUCAUGAGAAUAUAAAGGGUGGUACCACUUUUAUAAUAGAGACGCCCCUGUGAGGCUGCACAUGUCAUUUUAUUAUUGUAUGCCAACCACAAGUAGUGGGGCCCACCCCUGACCCUUCAACUUUUUUGAAUGCACACGUGGUUGGCCCCCACCCACGUUCAAUUUUUAUUGAAUUUAUCAAUUAUUUUCUAUUUAUUCUAGGUCUCAAAUGGAAGUUUGGGAAAUGAUAAGAAACGAAAAAAAAAAGGGAAAAUCUAAAAAUAAAUUUUAUCCUAUUAAGACUUUUAGAUUAUAUUUCAUUGGGAAAAAUUUGAGACAAAAAUGUUAAAGAAAGAAAAUAAAAAUCAAAUUUAAAAUAAAUAAAUUAUUUUUAUACAUCACUUCAAAUUCAUUUCAUAUAUUUUUUUUUCUUAUAUAUAAAUAUUAAAUAAUGUAAAAAUAUAUAAAUUCUUAACUACUUUUAAUUAUAUUUUUUUUCAUAUUUUUAUAAAGAAAUCAAAUAUAAGAAAAUUAUUUUUUUAUUUUUUUAUUACUUUUUGACAACCAAAUGUAACUUUAUUUUUUAUUUUAUAAUUAAUAUUAAUUUUUAUGUUAGGUACAAACCCCUCUUACUUUUCAUUUUGUACUUAAUUGAUGUAUUGAAAAUUGAUCUUCACUUGAAAAAAAAAAAAAAAGUUUGUGUUGUUUUGUCAAGCUUCAUAAAGUUUUUCAAGUGGAAUCUGACUCCAAUGCUUAUGAUUUUCACAACUAUAUGAAUGAAACAUAAAUGAUAAUGAUGGUCCAUAUAAUGGGAUUCCAUAUUUUUUCUUUUUUCAAUUUUAUAUUUUGAUGGGUAAGGUUAAUGGGAUUCCAUUUUUUUUAUAUAUAUUUCUUAAAACAAAAAGCUACAUCAUGAUUGGGUAUUUUCCUUUAUCAUGAUUCAUAGGAAUAUGCCAAAUUACCCGACAUAUUCACAAGCAUAUUAUUAUUAUUAUUAGUAUACAAAUGAGUAUUUGAUUGAUUGAAUAUGAUAUAAGAUAUGAUAAGAGAAAAGAUAAUAUAUUUUAUUUUAUAUUUGCUUAGUAAUGGAAUAAGAUAAAUUACUUUAUCGUUUAUCUUAUUUUAUCUUAUGUUGAGAUAGGAUAAGGAGUGGGAUAAAAAUAUUCAUAUUUAUCAUCUUUUUUUUAUUCUUUCCGCAUUGAAUAUGUUAAUCCUAAGUUAAUGUUUAAAAUUUAUUUUAUAAAAUAAAAAAUUUUGAUAAAAAAUAAAACUUGUGGUUGAAAAAGGAGAAAUAAAAAAUAUUUAUGAAAUAUAUUAUAAAAUGAUAUUAAUAUAAUAUUAGUAAUAUAUGUAUUAUUGAAUAACAUAAUAUAUAAAAAAAUUAUAAAAUUUAAAUAUUUUAAUCAUAAAUAUUAUAAAUGAAAAAUAAAUUUCAUAUUAUUUUUAAUUAUUAAAUAUUGGAAUAUAAUUUUUAUUUUUAUUUUAAACAAAUAUCGAAGAUUGAAAAGAUAAUAUAUUAAGAUUCAUGUAUAUUAGAUUUAAUAUCAUCAUAUUGUUAACCCCAAGAGUUCUUCUAAGUAAGUUUUGAUAAUAACAAAUCAUGGUUAGUUUUCUAAUAAAUUUAAAUCCAGAUGAGUUUGGGGUGUUACUGAAGAAAUUCAAUUAGAAAAUCAAGUUAGAUCAAAGAAACUCAAAGAUAAUCAUUUAAGGAUUAAAGAAGUGCAAGAUCAAGUAUGCUUAAAGGUCUUUCAAGUUUAGGAAUCCUAUAUGAGAUGUUCACUUGGGUGUACUUAGGAUUUUAAAUUCAAUCCAUGCAUAUUUUUCAUACUCAUCUUUAAGUCUUGAAAGUGCAUAUAUUUAUACGCUCAAGUUUUGAUCCAAAACUUUAGGCAAUAAUCUUUCAAUUACGUAUCAUCAAGUGAUUAAAAUUGUUGCCUAAGUGGUAAAAAGUUUUAAACCUGAGAAGGAUGGGUUUUCUAGUUAGGGAAUAAGUCAACCAGUUACUUUUUCUUGGUCAAGGUCUGAUCAAGGGGGCAUUGAAUUUUUGUCUCUCAUCCAAUAAACUUGUCUUCUCACCUUCCCAAUCGAGCUCCCAACGGUUACUUGUUAAAUAUUUAAUGCCCAAGGGUUAGCGAACCAAUUGACUUGAGCUUGAAAAAGCCCGUUGGAGCACUUUUUAGUAUCCCAAAUUGGAAACUUAUAAAUUGAGAGCUCUAUUUCAUUUAUAAAAUAGAGAAUAUUUGUUUUAAAUUUUUUACCAACCUAUUUCUCAUAUUAAAAAUCUCUCAUUCUUUUUUUGUGCAUUUAACUCUCAUUUGCAAAUCAACCUAGUGCAUUUUAGUUAUUCAUCCUAGCCUUCUUGUUUCUUGUUUAUUAAUUGUGUUAGGUUGAGUGUUCUUCUAAUCACAUUUAUUGAAGUGAGGAUCAAAUGUUAAUCUUCAAGUUUAGGAUAGACUUGAACAAUUGAUCGUAAUGUUUAUUGGAGUCGAAAAUCCAAUUGUAAAGACUUAAGAGUUUGAUGGAAGCUUCAAAUUAGUAGAACCUUCAUUUGAGAGGAACUUAAGGAGGAUGAACAUAGACGAAAUUGAUAGAAUCACUAUAAAGUUUUUCAAGUAAAAUAUGACUCAAAUAUUUAUGAUUUUCACAACAAUAUGAAUAAACACAUAAAUGAUGGUCCAUGUACAAACUUGAAUGAUAAAGCUAAUGGGAUUUCGUCUUUUUUCCUUUUUUCAAUAUUCCAUAUAGAAACUUGAACGGUCAAGGUAAUGUGAUUCCAUCUUUUUUUUUUUUUUUUAAUUUUAUAUUUUGAAGGGUAAGGUUAAUGGGAUUCCAUUCCUUUUUUUAAAAAAAAUUAUAUUUAAUGCAAAAGCUACAUCAUGGUUUGCUCUUUGUUCUUCUAUCAUGAUUCACAUGGCAUAUGACAAAUCACCUGACUCUAGAUAUUAUUAUUAUUGUUAUCUUACAAAUGCAUUGAUUGAAUAUAAUAUAAGAUAAAAUAAGAGAGAAAAUAACAUAUUUUAUUCUAUAUUUGGUUGGUAAUGGAAUAAGAUAAAUUACUCUUUCUUUAUCUUAUCCUAUAUUUAACCAAAUAUGAAAUACAAUAAAUAGUGAGAUAAAUUAUUCAUAUUUUUUAUAUUCUUUCCACAUAAAAUAUAUUAAUCCUAAGUUAAUAUUUAAAAUUUAUUUUGUAAAAUAAAAAUUUUGAUUAAAAAUUUAAAUUUGUGGUCAAAAAAAGAUUAAAAAAAAUUGUACAAUAAAAAAUUAAAUUUGUAGUAAAAAAAGAAUUUAUAAAAUAUAUUAUAAAAUAAUACUAAUAUAUGUAUUCUUUAAUAUAUAAAAAAUGAAUAAAUUAAAUAAUAUAAUAUACAUUUGUUUUUAUUUAUAAAUUUUAAAUAUUUUAACCAUGAAUAUUGUGAAUGAAUAAAUAAACAAACAAAUAAAUAAAUAUUUACUAAAUUUUAAAUUAUUGAACAAUUUUAUAGAAAUUUCAUAAUUUUUUAGCGGAUGAUAUUUUAGGAUAUGUAUAUCAUAUCCACGUAAUAUUCAACAAUUAUGUAUAUCUUAAGAUAAACAUGUCAUAUCCCUGUAAUAUCCAUGUAACAUCCUUAUAAUAUCCUAUGAUAUUAUAUAUAAUGCUUUUUUUUUAUUUUACAAAAAAAAACAUAUAAGUAUGACAUAGUAUAUCUCAUUAAAUAUAAUAGAUUGAGAUAUCAAUGUCCAUUAGAUAUAAUAUUAAAGAAUAUCAUAUCUCAUUUAAAAUGAUAUCCUAAAAUAUUCAUAUCAUAGUCAUAUAAUAUUCAAAGAUUAUAUAUAUCCUAGGAUAAACAUGUCACAUCUAUAAAUUAUUUUACAGUUAUAAAAAUCAAAUGUGCAAAGAAAUACAUAACUUCAAACUCUUGAAUAUAAUCAAGUCAAAAUAAGUAUAUUAUCAUUUACUCUCCAAGUUAAAAGAGCCCCUCCAUGUAAUGUUGGCAUACUAAUUAUAAAUUUGAGUCCAAGAUUAGAUAAGACUAAUGUUAGUAAAUUGUCAGGUGGUUUUCUAUAUAAAUACUAUUCAUACAUGAAUAAUGGACCCGGGGUCAUGAUUUUUUCCCUUUGUCAACUUUUCAUUAUUAAUAAUGACUUGAUGUUUCUCUCUUACUUUUUUUUUUUUUACAUCAAUUUCUCAAUAAGAUCAAUGCGUGAUGGAUCCCGUAUUUGUUGUAGCUUAUAUAUUCACAUAUGCAACUUUCUUGAUUGCAUAGCUAGAACAAGGCAAAGACAUAUGGGCUAUUUCUAAGUUUUUGCGGCCACAUAACAUAUUAAAUUGGUUCAGACGAUAAUUGAUUUUUUUUCUAUUGGUUUUAACUCUCCUUUUAUAAUAAAAUAUUUUGAACACUUGAAAAGGUGAGGUUUUUAUGACAUUUUUUAUGAAUUACUAAUUUGAUGAAAUCCUUAUCUCAUCAAUUGUACGACAUGGGUAACAAUUUUUGUUAAUAUCAUAUCAAGAAAUGAAAACAUUAUUAAAAACUUUAAAAGAGUUAGCAUUAUGUCAUUAUUGGUAUAUGAUUCGACUUUAUGUCACUAUUGAUAUAUUAUUCGACAUUUUGUCAGUAUUGGUAUAUGAUUCAAUGUGAAUAAGACUUUUCAUUCUAUUAGAUCUAAAAUUAUUUUUUAUAAAACAAUUUUCCCACCCCUAAGGAAAGAAAAGCUGAUUCUAGAAAAAUGAUAUGAAAUUUCUUGGAUUUUAGAAAAACAACAUGAAAUUUUGAAUAUUUUACAAGCGAUACGAGUUAAAGACAAUUAAUUAAUAUUACAACAAAUAAAUCUAAAAUGUACUUGAAGUGUGAAAAAAUCUAAUGUUUUAAUUGGAUGAUUAAUAUUAAAUGGAAAUAAACAAUCCAAAUAGAGUUAAGGUCGUUAGGAGAGAAGUAUUUGUACAUAGGGACAAGAUCAAUGCCUUUUGCCAACUUGUCAUCAAGAGAGAAAUAUUUAUUAUCAACUUGUCAUUGAUUAACGACGUGAUGUUUUUCUCUUCCAUAUUUUCAUUUUUGACAUCAAUUUCUUAAUAAGAUCAAUGCAUGAUAUGCUCUAUAAUUUGUUGUAGGUUAUAUAUUAACAUAUGUGACUUUCUUGAUUGCAUAGCUAGAAUAGGGUAAAGACAUAUGGCUAUUUCUAAGUUUUUGUUGUCACACAACAUAUUAAAUUGGUUCCUCAACGAUAAUUGAUUUUUUUUUCAAUUGGUUUUAACUUUCCCUUUAUAAUCAAAUAUCUUGAACACUUAAAAAAGUGAGAUUUUUAUGACCUUUUUUUAUGAAUUGCUAAUUUGAUGAAAUCUUUAUCUUAUCAAUCGUAGAACGUGGAUAACAAAUGUUGUUAAUAUCAUAUCAAUAAAUGAAAGCAUGAUUAAAAGCUUUAAAAGAGUUAACAUUAUGUCACUAUUGGUAUAUGAUUCAACAUUAUGUCACUAUUGGUAUAUGAUUCGAUAUUAUGUCACUAUUAGUAUAUGAUUUGACGUUAUGUCCCUAUUAGUAUGUUAUUCGACAUUAUGCCACUAUUGGUAUAUAAUUCGAUGUGAAUAAGACUUUUCGUUCAAUUUGACUUAAACAAUGGGCAAGGUGAAUUAUAGGAAAUUCUCAUACUUGUAAAUUUUUCAACAUAUUUCAACUUUUUCCAUUUUUUUUAUUUUUAAAAUUUUAAAUUUUAUUAAAAACAAAUAUAAUUUAUAAAUAAAAAUAUUAUAAAUAUUUAUAAUUUAUUUUUAUGAAAAUUAAUAUUUUAUUUAUGUUUAAAAUUUUGAAAAAUAAAAAAAUAUCAAAAAUAAUUUUUUUUAUUUAAAAUUAUGUUUAAUCGCAAGUGGGACAAAGUCAUAUUUGAACUCAUCCCCACCCCUACAACUCCAGGUUUUUUAAAACUUCUCAAAUCUGUCCUGUUUAUAUUUAUCUCAAACCUUCACAUCUACUAAAGUAAGAUUAAGUGAAUAAUUCAAUUUACAUAUGCAUUUUUACUCAAAUAUAUAUAUAUAUAGAAACUGAGUUUAGAGAUUGAAAAAAAAAAAACAAAGGAUUUUAGUCUCCACAAACGAUGGAUGGAUGAAAUCAAAAGCAGCAAGCCGGAAGUCACUCCUAACAACUAGAAGCAUAACAUAAUCUCCAUUCAGAGAUUAAACAUGACCUUGAUGGCAUUACCCCCACGAGCACUGGUUUCAAAGGCUUCUUCCACGUCCUUCUGUGAGAAAGUAAACCUGUGGGUUAUCAGGGGUUUAACAUCAAUCUUGCCACUCCUCAAAAACUCAAGGCAGAGCGGCCAUGUGUUCCUAUAGCGGAAUAUGCCAACGAUAUCGACCUCCCUGUUGCCCCAAAAGAAAAACCGCAAUCAGUAAACAUACAAAAUCAAGCCCUAAACAAAAGUAGAAGCAUAGAAUAGAAAGAACAUGGAGGUCAAUGUAACUCUGUUUUAGCAAAAACAGAGCAGUGGGUGGGGUGGGGGGUGUUCUUCCCAAAUUUAACACCUAGAAGUAUGGUUAGUUUAUUAAUGGAACAGAGAAGGAAAAGAAAACCAACAAUUCUGCAACUUCAUGAAUGUAGUUGACAAACAGAGAAAUCAUAGAUCAAAUACCUGGCAGCAGCUGGAGUGAGAGGAACAGUCAUCUCACUCUGGGCCAAACCCACAAGGCAAACUUUGCCGCCUGCUCGAGUCGCGUUCAAAGCUGUUGACAUGGUUUUGUUGAAGCCAACACAGUCUAAGCUCACAUCAACUCCAGUAACCAUUGUGCUUUGUAUUUUUGCCACUUCUUCGUCUAGAUCCUUCAAAGGUCAAAACCAGUUGUAUUGUUAAAUGGAAAGAAAUGGAAUCCCUUGGCAAAUGACAGAUUUUUAAGGCCUUAGGUGUAUGCGAUAACUCCUGGUUCAACACCCCUGAUGCCUAGGCCUGAAAUGAAGGACAGAUACUUGUACAUAGUUAAACCAAACC